rnacentral:rRNA from 1 species
AGGUCCUGCGCCGAAAAUGUCCGGGGCUGAAACACGACACCGAAGCUUAGGAAUCACAUAGUGAUUGGUAGAGGAGCAUUCUUAAAACCGACGAAGCUGUACCGGAAGGAGCAGUGGAGGGAUAAGAAGAGAGAAUGCCGGAAUGAGUAGCGAGAGAAAGGUGAGAAUCCUUUCGGCCGAAUAUCCAAGGUUUCCAGGGUAAAGCUGAUCUGCCCUGGGUAAGUCGGGGCCUAAGGCGAGGCAGAAAUGCGUAGUCGAUGGACAGCAGGUUGAGAUUCCUGCACCCGUAAUGAACAGAACUGUAGUGACACGGAAGGUAAGACAGAGCCGGGAAUGAGAAAACCGGUGCAAGCACAAUAGAUGUGCGGGAGGAAAAUCCCCCGCAUAAGUCAAAGGUGUGACGCGGACCGAAAAAGAGUAGGGAAGCUGUUAAGCAAGCCGUCAAGAAAAGCUGCUAUUGUUUCAUUAUGGCCCGUACCGUAAACCGACACAGGUGGAUGGGGAGAGAAUCCUAAGGCCGGCGGAAGAAGUAUUGUUAAGGAACUCGGCAAAAUGACCCCGUAACUUCGGGAGAAGGGGUGCCUGCGAGAGCAGGCCGCAGAGAAGAGGCCCAAGCAACUGUUUAGCAAAAACACAGGUCUAUGCAAAACCGAAAGGUGAGGUAUAUGGGCUGACGCCUGCCCGGUGCUGGAAGGUUAAGGGGAGUGGUCAGGAAACGAAGCCACGAACUUAAGCCCCAGUAAACGGCGGCCGUAACUAUAACGGUCCUAAGGUAGCGAAAUUCCUUGUCGGGUAAGUUCCGACCCGCACGAAAGGCGUAAUGAUUUGGGCGCUGUCUCGACAAUGCAUCCGGUGAAAUUGAAGUACCAGUGAAGAUGCUGGUUACCUGCGCCAGGACGGAAAGACCCCAUGGAGCUUUACUCCAGCUUGAUACUGGGACCCGGUAUUGCAUGUACAGGAUAGGUGGGAGGCUAGGAAAUGUGGACGCCAGUCUGCAUGGAGCCGCUGUUGGGAUACCACCCUUGUGGUGCUGGGUUUCUAACCAGAGGCCGUGAACCGGUCUGGGGACAAUGUCAGGUGGGGAGUUUGACUGGGGCGGUCGCCUCCGAAAGGGUAUCGGAGGCGCCCAAAGGUUCCCUCAGAAUGGUUGGAAACCAUUCGAAGAGUGCAAAGGCAGAAGGGAGCUUGACUGCGACACCGACGG